GAUGAACGCUGGCGGCGUGCCUAAUACAUGCAAGCCGAGCGAACGGACGAGAAGCUUGCUUCUCUGAUGUUAGCGGCGGACGGGUGAGUAACACGUGGAUAACCUACCUAUAAGACUGGGAUAACUUCGGGAAACCGGAGCUAAUACCGGAUAAUAUUUUGAACCGCAUGGUUCAAAAGUGAAAGACGGUCUUGCUGUCACUUAUGGAUGGAUCCGCGCUGCAUUAGCUAGUUGGUAAGGUAACGGCUUACCAAGGCAACGAUGCAUAGCCGACCUGAGAGGGUGAUCGGCCACACUGGAACUGAGACACGGUCCAGACUCCUACGGGAGGCAGCAGUAGGGAAUCUUCCGCAAAGGGCGAAAGCCUGACGGAGCAACGCCGCGUGAGUGAUGAAGGUCUUCGGAUCGUAAAACUCUGUUAUUAGGGAAGAACAUAUGUGUAAGUAACUGUGCACAUCUUGACGGUACCUAAUCAGAAAGCCACGGCUAACUACGUG
rnacentral:rRNA from 1 species